rnacentral:rRNA from 1 species
GAGAGCUUGCUCUCGGGUGACGAGCGGCGGACGGGUGAGUAAUGUCUGGGAAACUGCCUGAUGGAGGGGGAUAACUACUGGAAACGGUAGCUAAUACCGCAUAACGUCGCAAGACCAAAGUGGGGGACCUUCGGGCCUCAUGCCAUCAGAUGUGCCCAGAUGGGAUUAGCUAGUAGGUGGGGUAAUGGCUCACCUAGGCGACGAUCCCUAGCUGGUCUGAGAGGAUGACCAGCCACACUGGAACUGAGACACGGUCCAGACUCCUACGGGAGGCAGCAGUGGGGAAUAUUGCACAAUGGGCGCAAGCCUGAUGCAGCCAUGCCGCGUGUGUGAAGAAGGCCUUCGGGUUGUAAAGCACUUUCAGCGGGGAGGAAGGCGGUGAGGUUAAUAACCUUGUCGAUUGACGUUACCCGCAGAAGAAGCACCGGCUAACUCCGUGCCAGCAGCCGCGGUAAUACGGAGGGUGCAAGCGUUAAUCGGAAUUACUGGGCGUAAAGCGCACGCAGGCGGUCUGUCAAGUCGGAUGUGAAAUCCCCGGGCUCAACCUGGGAACUGCAUUCGAAACUGGCAGGCUAGAGUCUUGUAGAGGGGGGUAGAAUUCCAGGUGUAGCGGUGAAAUGCGUAGAGAUCUGGAGGAAUACCGGUGGCGAAGGCGGCCCCCUGGACAAAGACUGACGCUCAGGUGCGAAAGCGUGGGGAGCAAACAGGAUUAGAUACCCUGGUAGUCCACGCCGUAAACGAUGUCGAUUUGGAGGUUGUGCCCUUGAGGCGUGGCUUCCGGAGCUAACGCGUUAAAUCGACCGCCUGGGGAGUACGGCCGCAAGGUUAAAACUCAAAUGAAUUGACGGGGGCCCGCACAAGCGGUGGAGCAUGUGGUUUAAUUCGAUGCAACGCGAAGAACCUUACCUGGUCUUGACAUCCACAGAACUUUCCAGAGAUGGAUUGGUGCCUUCGGGAACUGUGAGACAGGUGCUGCAUGGCUGUCGUCAGCUCGUGUUGUGAAAUGUUGGGUUAAGUCCCGCAACGAGCGCAACCCUUAUCCUUUGUUGCCAGCGGUUCGGCCGGGAACUCAAAGGAGACUGCCAGUGAUAAACUGGAGGAAGGUGGGGAUGACGUCAAGUCAUCAUGGCCCUUACGACCAGGGCUACACACGUGCUACAAUGGCAUAUACAAAGAGAAGCGACCUCGCGAGAGCAAGCGGACCUCAUAAAGUAUGUCGUAGUCCGGAUUGGAGUCUGCAACUCGACUCCAUGAAGUCGGAAUCGCUAGUAAUCGUAGAUCAGAAUGCUACGGUGAAUACGUUCCCGGGCCUUGUACACACCGCCCGUCACACCAUGGGAGUGGGUUGCAAAAGAAGUAGGUAGC